rnacentral:rRNA from 1 species
GACGAACGCUGGCGGCGUGCUUAACACAUGCAAGUCGAACGGAAAGGCCCUGCUUUUGUGGGGUGCUCGAGUGGCGAACGGGUGAGUAGCACGUGAGUAACCUGCCCUUGACUUUGGGAUAACUUCAGGAAACUGGGGCUAAUACCGGAUAGGAGCUCCUGCUGCAUGGUGGGGGUUGGAAAGUUUCGGCGAUUGGGGAUGGACUCGCGGCUUACCAGCUUGUUGGUGGGGUAGUGGCUUACCAAGGCUUUGACGGGUAGCCGGCCUGAGAGGGUGACCGGCCACAUUGGGACUGAGAUACGGCCCAGACUCCUACGGGAGGCAGCAGUGGGGAAUAUUGCACAAUGGGCGGAAGCCUGAUGCAGCAACGCCGCGUGCGGGAUGACGGCCUUCGGGUUGUAAACCGCUUUCGCCUGUGACGAAGCGUGAGUGACGGUAAUGGGUAAAGAAGCACCGGCUAACUACGUG